rnacentral:rRNA from 1 species
AGUGAACGCUGGCGGUAGGCCUAACACAUGCAAGUCGAACGGCAGCACAGUAAGAGCUUGCUCUUACGGGUGGCGAGUGGCGGACGGGUGAGGAAUACAUCGGAAUCUACUUUUUCGUGGGGGAUAACGUAGGGAAACUUACGCUAAUACCGCAUACGACCUACGGGUGAAAGCAGGGGAUCUUCGGACCUUGCGCGAUUGAAUGAGCCGAUGUCGGAUUAGCUAGUUGGCGGGGUAAAGGCCCACCAAGGCGACGAUCCGUAGCUGGUCUGAGAGGAUGAUCAGCCACACUGGAACUGAGACACGGUCCAGACUCCUACGGGAGGCAGCAGUGGGGAAUAUUGGACAAUGGGCGCAAGCCUGAUCCAGCUAUACAGCGUGGGUGAAGAAGGCCUUCGGGUUGUAAAGCCCUUUUGUUGGGAAAGAAAAGCAGCAGGUUAAUACCCCGCUGUUCUGACGGUACCCAAAGAAUAAGCACCGGCUAACUUCGUG